AAACCUUGGCUGUCAUGGCAUCUAGAAUCUGCUCAUCUUUGCUCUACAUUCUAUGUUUUAGUAGUAAAUAAAAAUGAAUAAAUGAAGAAGUUGGAGAGAAAAGCAGCUCCUUACAGCUGGAGCAGUCGCCUCCUCGCCAUCCUUUCUCACACUGGCAGCGGUUUGGAGCGACGCAGCGACCGUGGACGCAUUCCUUGGUGCAGUGAGCUGGAGAGGAGAAGGACAGAGAUCAGCAGUCCGGAUGUCCAGGGGCCAUAACAGACAGCAGGCCAGGUCCCCCCCCCCACACCUGAGACUUGAUUCUAUUCAAGGAAAAAGAAAAUCCACCAAACAGCAACAUCUGUCCACAUCUGUUGGCAAAAUCAGGAGGAGAGUAGAAACUGACCCAGAACGCCUAGAUGGGCAGAGGUGGACCUGGAAAGGCCUGGAGAGACCUGGAGAGGCCUGGAGAUGCCUGGAGAUGCCUGGAGAGGCAU